rnacentral:rRNA from 1 species
AGCGAACGCUGGCGGCAGGCCUAACACAUGCAAGUCGAGCGGCCGUAGCAAUACGGCAGCGGCAGACGGGAGAGUAACACGUGGGAACGCGCCCUUCGGUUCGGAAUAACUCAGGGAAACUUGGGCUAAUACCGGAUACGCCCUUACGGGGAAAGAUUUAUUGCCGAAGGAACGGCCCGCGUCCGAUUAGCUUGUUGGUGAGGUAACGGCUCACCAAGGCAACGAUCGGUAGCUGGUCUGAGAGGAUGACCAGCCUCACUGGGACUGAGACACGGCCCAGAAUCCUACGGGAGGCAGCAGUGGGGAAUAUUGGACAAUGGGCGCAAGCCUGAUCCAGCCAUGCCGCGUGGGUGAUGAAGGCCCUAGGGUUGUAAAGCCCUUUCGGCGGGGAAGAUAAUGACGGUACCCGCAGAAGAAGCCCCGGCUAACUUCGUGCCAGCCGCCGCCGUAAAAC